rnacentral:lncRNA from 1 species
AGGGGAUUAGGAACAUUAAUUCGUACAGUGGGGAACUCAGUACCAGAAGAAGGGAUGAGGAAGACCUAUCGAUAAGGGGCAGAGUACAUAUCAUAUGAUGCAAAUAUAUAUUUGCUUUUCCUUAAAACAGUACAAAGAUAAAAACUAAAGUGGUUGCUGUGGAGGACAGGGGUCAGUGGUGGAAGUGAGACUGAAAUAGACUCUGAAGUAAUAUCUGGACUUUGAAAUUGUGCCAACCCUGAGACCAAAAUUUGGAAGGUGGCCCUGAGCAGCAGCUGAAGGGAAGCAGGAGGUGAGACAGGAAAGAGGUGAGGGCACGGGGUGUCUGGGAGCCGGGUCCCACGUGGGCAGCUGGGCCCGUGCUCAUUGUGGGAGCUGGUGCAUUCCUUCACCAGCCCACGCUCCACAGGGUCAGGAUGGUCAAUUCCGGGCACCCCCGGCCUAAUCCAGGACGUGCUCCUGCCACCAGAGAAAGCCCCUAGGCAGCGUCCCGGGUGCUGGUGGUGUCAGAAUCAAGUUUGAGUCUGAGGAGUGACCUGGGGCUGGCUGGGCUAGGCAGCAUCACAG